rnacentral:rRNA from 1 species
UACGUAGGGGGGCAAGCGUUGUCCGGAUUUAUUGGGCGUAAAGAGCGUGUAGGCGGUUUUACAGGUCCGCUGUGAAAACUCGAGGCUCAACCUCGAGCUGUCGGUGGAAACCGUAAGGCUAGAGUCCGGAAGAGGAGAGUGGAAUUCCUGGUGUAGCGGUGAAAUGCGCAGAUAUCGAGGAAGAACACCCGUGGCGAAGGCGGCUCUCUGGGAGCGGUACU